GACGAACGCUGGCGGCGUGCUUAACACAUGCAAGUCGAACGGGUCUGCCCUGUUUUUUGCGGGUGGGGCAGGUGGGGAAGGGGGGGGAAAAAGUGAGGAAACUGCCCCUCAAUUCCGGAUAAACGCUUGGAAGGGGGGGUAAAAAGGGGGGGUCUGGGUGUGGCGGAAGGGGGGGGUGGGGAAGGAUCCAUUUUGUGGUGGUUUGGGGGGGGGUGGGCUCGCGGCCUAUCAGCUUGUUGGUGGGGGGAUGGGCUGCCAAGGCUUUGGCGGGUAGCCGGCCUGAGAGGGUGGGCGGUCACACUGGGACUGAGAUACGGCCCAGACUCCUGCGGGAGGCAGCAGUGGGGGGUAUUGCACAAUGGGCGGAAGCCUGAUGCAGCGACGUCGCGUGAGGGAUGGAGGCCUUCGGGUUGUGAACCUCUUUCGCCGGUGAAGAAGGUCCUGCUCUUUGUGGUGGGGUUGACGGUAGCCGGGUUAUGAAGCGCCGGCUAACUACGUG
rnacentral:rRNA from 1 species